AUGGUUGUAGCACGAGAAAACGCCGUUUGCAACUCUCCCAGUACCGCUGUUGCGGCUCCUCCCUGUGGCCAUGGUUGUAGCACGGGCGCCUUGGUCCUCCCCGCGUUUGGCCUGUCGCCGGUUGCAGCAAAAAGGGAAGAGAGGAGGAGGAAAGGGGAGAGAGGGAGAAGGAAGAAGGGUACCUGCUGUUGCCGUGAUCGAGGGAGGGUGGGCGGCAGCGGAGAAGUGGGCAAGGGCACUGAGAUUGGAGGUAGGGACCUGCACGGGAUUGGGGCUGGCCGGCGGCGAGAUCCGAAAGAUGAAGACGAGGGCCAGCAGCGCGCAAGGCUGAGAGGGAAGGAGGGGAUCGGGAGGAAGAAGAAAGUGGGAGAAGAUAAGGGGCCCUUGCGCGCGCACGCGCGCCUGAGAUUCAAGCAGCGCGCUCCGGCGGACGACGGCGCCGCCGCCAAGGAGGCUUGCCCGCGCGACCCAGCGGAUAAAGAGGGCGUCGCGGAGACCGACCCGUACGCCAAGCUGUGGCCGUGGGGGGACUACUUCCCCGACGAAGACGAAUUACGCCGGGAGGACUUCGCCACCAUGCAAGAACGGUUCUCGCGCGAAUCUACGGAGGCGGUCGCGGCGCUAAAAGCCAUGAUCGCCGGCGUGUUCCGUCCACUCCUGGACAACUUCCACCACCUCCGGUCCCUGAAGACCGUCUACGACACGGAGGACUACCACAUCGGCAUGCCCUUCGGAGCGUUGGUCGCCUGCGUCGGGUGCUAUCAACUGUGGAAGAUGGAUCCGUCCAUGUUUGUCAGCACCGCUCUCGGCUAUGCGUUCUACAAGCUCAGCGUUGUCUCGUUGGAGCUCCGGAAACAGGGCUUUGCCAAUGACCUCAUCACCCGACUUAAAUUUGUUAUCAUGCUCCUCAUCAUGGCCGUAACUUACAAUAAAAAAUAUUCUCCACUUGAUGCUAUCAUGGCGCCUGUUUUUAUGCUCUAUUCAUUGACAUUUGCUUGUGAAGUGACUGGCGUCAAGAAGCAGUUCAAGUAUGCUGUGCCGCUACUUAACAUAAUGCUAAGGCACCCAGAAGGAAGACGGGAGCUACGCGCAAUGUUGUCUGAGGUUGAACUUGAACUUGUAUCAGAGUGUGGGAUCGUGGUCUUAUAA
rnacentral:rRNA from 1 species